CCUACGGGAGGCAGCCGUGAGGAAUAUUGGUCAAUGGGCGCGAGCCUGAACCAGCCAAGUAGCGUGAAGGAUGACUGCCCUACGGGUUGUAAACUUCUUUUAUAAAGGAAUAUAGUGAGGCACGUGUGCCUUUUUGUAUGUACUUUAUGAAUAAGGAUCGGCUAACUCCGUGCCAGCAGCUGCGGUAAUACGGAGGAUCCGAGCGUUAUCCGGUUGUAUUGGGUUUAAAGGGAGCGUAGAUGGGUUGUUAAGUCAGUUGUGAAAGUUUGCGGAUGAACCGUCAAAUUGCAAUUGAUACUGGCAGGCUUGAGUACAGAUGAGGUAGGCGGAAUUCGUGGUGUAGCGGUGAAAUGCAUAGAUAUCACGAAGAACUCCGAUGGCGAAGGCAGACUAAUAAACUGCCAUUGACAUUGAUGCUCGAAAGUGUGGGUAUCAAACAGGAUUAGAUACCCGAGUAGUC
rnacentral:rRNA from 1 species